GUGCACAUGCACCAAACUCCUCCCUGGCCAUGCCUCUAUCUGAAUAUGCAAAUGUAAUCAAGUCGUUUGGUUGUGUCGUGCUGACGGCACCAUAAGUGUAGAGUGUUGUGUGUUUGAUGAUGGAAUCACAGAAGCUA